rnacentral:rRNA from 1 species
CCUACGGGAGGCAGCAGUGGGGAAUUUUGGACAAUGGGGGAAACCCUGAUCCAGCCAUUCCGCGUGAGUGAAGAAGGCCUUCGGGUUGUAAACUCCUUUUGCAGGGGACAAUGAUGAUGGUACCCUGCGAAUAAGCCACGGCUAACUCUGUGCCAGCAGCCGCGGUAAGACAGAGGUGGCAAGCGUUGUUCGGAUUUACUGGGCGUAAAGAGCGCGUAGGCGGUUUGAUAAGUCAUGGGUGAAAGCCCUCAGCUCAAGUGAGGUUACGCCCAUGAAACUGUCGGACUGGAGUUUAGGAGAGGAGAGCGGAAUUCCGAGUGUAGGGGUGAAAUGCGUAGAUAUUGGGAGGAACACCGGUGGCGAAGGCGGCUCUCGGGACUAAUACUGACGCUGAGGCGCGAAAGCUAGGGGAGCAAACGGGAUUAGAUAC